UACGGAGGGGGCUAGCGUUGUUCGGAAUUACUGGGCGUAAAGCGCACGUAGGCGGUUUUGUAAGUUAGAGGUGAAAUCCUGGAGCUCAACUCCAGAACUGCCUUUGAUACUGAGAAGCUUGAGUCCGGGAGAGGUGAGUGGAACUGCGAGUGUAGAGGUGAAAUUCGUAGAUAUUCGCAAGAACACCAGUGGCGAAGGCGGCUCACUGGCCCGGUACUGACGCUGAGGUGCGAAAGCGUGGGGAGCAAACAGGG
rnacentral:rRNA from 1 species